rnacentral:rRNA from 1 species
UAGGGAAUCUUCCACAAUGGACGCAAGUCUGAUGGAGCAACGCCGCGUGAGUGAAGAAGGUUUUCGGACCGUAAAGCUCUGUUGUUGGUGAAGAAGGAUAGAGGUAGUAACUGGCCUUUAUUUGACGGUAAUCAACCAGAAAGUCACGGCUAACUACGUGCCAGCAGCCGCGGUAAUACGUAGGUGGCAAGCGUUGUCCGGAUUUAUUGGGCGUAAAGCGAGCGCAGGCGGAAGAAUAAGUCUGAUGUGAAAGCCCUCGGCUUAACCGAGGAAUUGCAUCGGAAACUGUUUUCUUGAGUGCAGAAGAGGAGAGUAGAACUCCAUGUGUAGCGGCGGAAUGCGUAGAUAUAUGGAAGAAUACCAGUGGCGAAGGCGGCUCUCUGGUCUGCAACUGACGCUGAGGCUCGAAAGCAUGGGUAGCGAACAGGAUUAGAUACCCUGGUAGUCCAUGCCGUAAACGAUGAGUGCUAAGUGUUGGGAGGCUUCCGCCUCUCAGUGCUGCAGCUAACGCAUUAAGCACUCCGCCUGGGGAGUACGACCGCAAGGUUGAAAC